UAUGUGGGCUGUUGGACCAUGGAGUUGUGCUGUAGUGCUUACUCAGAUGUUGAUCAUACUGGAGCAGAAUGGAUAACCUUAAAUUCAUCAGACUUUGUUUCAUAAGUCAUCCACACUCUAAAACGGAAGGAGUUCUGGAGGACCAGAAGACUUCACAUGAUGAAUGGCCAGAUGUGAAGGUAUUUGAGAGAUUUGUUCCUCCGAAGGCUCUACACUGUCAAACCCACGUGGAGAAGUGGGUGAAGUACAUAAUGGUCCCUCUAAGCAGUCCAGCGUUUACCAGUUAUGGGGAGAAAAACCUUUUAUGCAUUAAAGUUGACCUACGACUGUUCCAACAUGCCGGGGGGGGGUUUUUUCUCACUAAUCUUAAGAAUUAUUGCUUGUAUUUUAUGUAAGUGCCUAAAUAGUCUUGCAGCUGGCACUUACCUCUAUUACUUUUACAAUAAAACUAUUAAACCAUGAAUUGAUUUUGCGUUCAUUAACUUGUUCUGUGCAUCUCUCAUUCAUCU
rnacentral:lncRNA from 1 species